ensembl:lncRNA
AGAAUGGAAGAAGAGAUAAAGAUGAUGGAUGCAGAACAUGAUAAAGCCAAUAUGUCAAGGAGACUGGAAGAGAAGAGUAUGAGUGCUCUGGAAGAAGAAGAGGAGAAGAGGAGGGUAGAGGAGGAAGUUGAGACAGAGAUGGUGAAAGGACAUCCCUCCCCUGCAGAAAAGUUAGAGUCUGAUGAUAAAGUCUUGAGAGUUCCUGAAGAAUGUGAAAAAGAAGGAAAGAAAGGCAGGAAUAAAGACAAGGAGAUCCUGACGGAGGACAAAGAACCUAUGAUGAAGCCCGAAAAGACAGCACAUGCAAAUUCAGAGAAUGUUCUCCUGAAGUCACCUUUACAAGGAGAUCACCUCUCUCCCAUCGUGGAAAAGGUGACGUCAAAACCUUUGGCACCAUUACAAG